UUUUUUUUUUUUUUUUUUUUUUUUUUUUAUGUUAUAGUCAGCAAACGAGCAGACGAGCCGCCUGAUGGGAAGCGGUCAUCGUCGCCCAUGGACAUAAGCAACACCACAGGAGCCACUUAAGCGUUGCCGACCCUUGAGAACCCUAAAUACCCGCUUCUUGAAGAAUCCCAUGUCGUAGCGCAAAGGAAAUACCUCAGGAGGCAAGUCAUUCCACAUUCUGCACGUUCUGGGAAGAAACGAGCGAGAUGCCCGCUUAUUCUUGGUGUGCCAUGUAUCUAAGAAGUGGGAAUGAACUUUGCUCCUUUGGCGGGAGGUGCGGUGAUAGAAACGAGACGAUGGCACCAAAUUAAAAAGUUCUUCCGAGCAUUCCCCAUUGUACAGACGGUAGAACAUGCAAAGAGAGCCAACGUCUCUCCGAAGGCUAAGAGGUUCUAAGCCGUCAACCACAGAUGAGAACAGUACUCCAUAUGAGGUCGAACCUGCGCUUUAUAUAACAAAAGCCGGUGACUAGGUGUGAAGUACUGUUUGGCUCUGUUAAGCACCCCAAGCUUUUUGGAGGCCAGUUUGGCUUUAUGUUCCAAAUGACUCCGAAACUGGACUUCGUUCGUAAUAUCGACACCAAGUAUCCCGAUACUUUUAG